UAUAGGGAAAUCAGAGGAGGGGAAGGUACUAAAAUAUGGUCAGCUAAAUAAGGUCUAAUAUCAGGCGGAAGUGGCGAAAAGAACAUAUAUCUGGUGCUGUUAAAAAUCCUAAUGUCUUAGACAUGUACUUGUUUGGAUAGUCAUACAGUUUCAGUUCUGCUGAUUUAUAAUGAAUGUUAUGCGGUCUACGGAGUGAAAGAAAAAGGAAGAACCUACCGGUGAUGAUCCACAAAUUCACCUGGGAAGAACCUGCCGGUGCUUUUGAAUGCUGAUGAUGACCCACAUAUAUUUUACUUCGUUUUUCCCUUUUAUUUUUUCCUGAUAUUAUGAUCUUGGUACAUAUAACAGGGAGUUCUGUAUGCCUGAAAGGAAUGGUAUCAGAUCUUAAUAAAGUAAUUUCUAUGCCAGUUCUUAGUA